rnacentral:rRNA from 1 species
UACAGAGGGUGCGAGCGUUGUCCGGAAUCACUGGGCGGAAAGGGCGCGUAGGCGGCUCGGUCAGCGUGCGGUGAAAGCCCGGGGCUCAACCCCGGGUCGGCCGUGCGAACUGCUGGGCUGGAGCACUGUAGAGGCAGGUGGAAUUCCGGGUGUAGCGGUGGAAUGCGUAGAGAUCCGGAAGAACACCGGUGGCGAAGGCGGCCUGCUGGGCAGUAGCUGACGCUGAUGCGCGACAGCGUGGGGAGCAAACAGG